UUUCGGCUCGUAAAGCUCUGUUGGUAGUGAAGAAAGAUAGAGGUAGUAACUGGCCUUUAUUUGACGGUAAUUACUUAGAAAGUCACGGCUAACUACGUGCCAGCAGCCGCGGUAAUACGUAGGUGGCAAGCGUUGUCCGGAUUUAUUGGGCGUAAAGCGAGUGCAGGCGGUUCAAUAAGUCUGAUGUGAAAGCCUUCGGCUCAACCGGAGAAUUGCAUCAGAAACUGUUGAACUUGAGUGCAGAAGAGGAGAGUGGAACUCCAUGUGUAGCGGUGGAAUGCGUAGAUAUAUGGAAGAACACCAGUGGCGAAGGCGGCUCUCUGGUCUGCAACUGACGCUGAGGCUCGAAAGCAUGGGUAGCGAACAGGAUUAGAUACCCUGGUAGUCCAUGCCGUAAACGAUGAGUGCUAAGUGUUGGGAGGUUUCCGCCUCUCAGUGCUGCAGCUAACGCAUUAAGCACUCCGCCUGGGGAGUACGACCGCAAGGUUGAAACUCAAAGGAAUUGACGGGGGCCCGCACAAGCGGUGGAGCAUGUGGUUUAAUUCGAAGCAACGCGAAGAACCUUACCAGGUCUUGACAUCCAGUGCAAACCUAAGAGAUUAGGUGUUCCCUUCGGGGACGCUGAGACAGGUGGUGCAUGGCUGUCGUCAGCUCGUGUCGUGAGAUGUUGGGUUAAGUCCCGCAACGAGCGCAACCCUUGUCAUUAGUUGCCAUCAUUAAGUUGGGCACUCUAAUGAGACUGCCGGUGACAAACCGGAGGAAGGUGGGGAUGACGUCAAGUCAUCAUGCCCCUUAUGACCUGGGCUACACACGUGCUACAAUGGACGGUACAACGAGAAGCGAACCUGCGAAGGCAAGCGGAUCUCUGAAAGCCGUUCUCAGUUCGGACUGUAGGCUGCAACUCGCCUACACGAAGCUGGAAUCGCUAGUAAUCGCGGAUCAGCACGCCGCGGUGAAUACGUUCCCGGGCCUUGUACACACCGCCCGUCACACCAUGAGAGUCUGUAACACCCCAAAGCCCGGUGGGAUAACC
rnacentral:rRNA from 1 species